AGAGUUUGAUCCUGGCUCAGGACGAACGCUGGCGGCGUGCUUAACACAUGCAAGUCGAGCGGAAAGGCCCUUCGGGGUACUCGAGCGGCGAACGGGUGAGUAACACGUGAGUAACCUGCCCCUAGCUCUGGGAUAGCUCCGGGAAACCGGGAUUAAUACCAGAUACGACCACUUUAGACAUCUGUCGUGGUGGAAAGGAUUCCGGCUAGGGAUGGGCUCGCGGCCUAUCAGCUUGUUGGUGGGGUAACGGCCUACCAAGGCGACGACGGGUAGCCGGCCUGAGAGGGCGACCGGCCACACUGGGACUGAGACACGGCCCAGACUCCUACGGGAGGCAGCAGUGGGGAAUAUUGCGCAAUGGGCGAAAGCCUGACGCAGCGACGCCGCGUGGGGGAUGAAGGCCUUCGGGUUGUAAACCCCUUUCAGCAGGGACGAAGCGAGAGUGACGGUACCUGCAGAAGAAGCGCCGGCUAACUACGUGCCAGCAGCCGCGGUAACACGUAGGGCGCAAGCGUUGUCCGGAAUUAUUGGGCGUAAAGAGCUCGUAGGCGGUCUGUUGCGUCCGCUGUGAAAUCUCGGGGCUUAACCCCGAGCCUGCAGUGGAUACGGGCAGACUAGAGGUAGGUAGGGGAGAAUGGAAUUCCUGGUGUAGCGGUGAAAUGCGCAGAUAUCAGGAGGAACACCGGUGGCGAAGGCGGUUCCCUGGGCCUUACCUGACGCUGAGGAGCGAAAGCGUGGGGAGCGAACAGGAUUAGAUACCCUAGUAGUCC
rnacentral:rRNA from 1 species